rnacentral:rRNA from 1 species
AUUGAACGCUGGCGGCAGGCCUAACACAUGCAAGUCGAGCGAGCGGCGGACGGGUGAGUAAUGUAUGGGGACUGCCCGAUAGAGGGGGAUAACUACUGGGAACGGUGUCUAAUACCGCAUACUGUCGCAUAACCCAUAUGGGAUUAGCUAGUAGGUAAGGUAAUGGCUUACCUAGGCGACGAUCCCUAGCUGGUCUGAGAGGAUGAUCAGCCACACUGGGACUGAGACACGGCCAAGACGCCUACGGAGGCAGCAGGGGGGAAUAUUGCAAAAUGGGCGCAAGCCUGAUGCAGCCAUGCCGCGUGUAUGAAGAAGGCCCUAGGGUUGUAAAGUACUUUCAGUCGGGAGGCGUUACCGACAGAAGAAGCACCGGCUAACUCGGUGCCAGCAGCGGCGGUAAUUC